rnacentral:rRNA from 1 species
GAUGAACGCUGGCGGCGUGCCUAAUACAUGCAAGUCGAGCGAACAGACGAGGAGCUUGCUCCUUCGACGUUAGCGGCGGACGGGUGAGUAACACGUAGGUAACCUACCUAUAAGACUGGGAUAACUUCGGGAAACCGGAGCUAAUACCGGAUAAUAUUUCGAACCGCAUGGUUCGAUAGUGAAAGAUGGCUUUGCUAUCACUUAUAGAUGGACCUGCGCCGUAUUAGCUAGUUGGUAAGGUAACGGCUUACCAAGGCAACGAUACGUAGCCGACCUGAGAGGGUGAUCGGCCACACUGGAACUGAGACACGGUCCAGACUCCUACGGGAGGCAGCAGUAGGGAAUCUUCCGCAAUGGGCGAAAGCCUGACGGAGCAACGCCGCGUGAGUGAUGAAGGUCUUCGGAUCGUAAAACUCUGUUAUUAGGGAAGAGCAAACGUGUAAGUAACUGUGCACGUCUUGACGGUACCUAAUCAGAAAGCCACGGCUAACUACGUG